rnacentral:rRNA from 1 species
GGGUGCGAUCAUACUAGCAUUAAUGCAUCGUAUCCCAUCAGAACUCCGAAGUUAAGUGUGCUUGGGCUAUAGUAGUACUGGGAAGGGUGACCUACCAGGAAGUCCUAGUGUUGCACCCU